AGCAGCCGCGGUAAUUCCAGCUCCAAUAGCGUAUAUUAAAGUUGCUGCAGUUAAAAAGCUCGUAGUUGAAUUUCGGGACUAAUAUGUCGGUCGUGCCUCCGGUACGCACUGGUUUUAUUGGUUUCUCCCUUCUGACGAACCAUGAUGUCAUUAAUUUGGUGUCAUGGGGAAUCAGGACUGUUACUUUGAAAAAAUUAGAGUGUUUAUAGCAGGCUCACGCUUGAAUACAUUAGCAUGGAAUAAUGAAAUAGGACGUUUGACCCUAUUUUGUUGGUUUCUAGGAUCGACGUAAUGAUUAAUAGGGAUAGUUGGGGGCAUUAGUAUUCAAUUGUCAGAGGUGAAAUUCUUGGAUUUAUUGAAGACUAACUACUGCGAAAGCAUUUGCCAAGGAUGUUUUCAUUAAUCAAGAACGAAAGUUAGGGGAUCGAAGACGAUCAGAUACCGUCGUAGUCUUAACCAUAAACUAUGCCGACUAGGGAUCGGAUGAUGUUAAUUUUUUAAUGACUCAUUCGGCGCCUUA
rnacentral:rRNA from 1 species